GGUUAAGUUAUUAAGGGCGCAUGGUGGAUGCCUUGGCACUAGGAGCCGAUGAAGGACGGGACUAACACCGAUAUGCUUCGGGGAGCUGUAAGUAAGCUUUGAUCCGGAGAUUUCCGAAUGGGGGAACCCAACUUGUUAUGCAAGUUAUCACCUAAUGAAUAUAUAGUUAGGUUGAAGGUAGACGUUGUGAACUGAAACAUCUCAUUAGCAACAGGAAUAGAAAGAAAAAUCGAUACCGUCAGUAGCGGCGAGCGAAAUCGGUAGAGCCCAAACCAAAGUGCUUGCACUUUGGGGUUGUAGGACUGUCGUUGUGGAGUUACAAAAUUGUUUAUUAGCAGAAUCAGCUGGGAAGCUGAGCGAGACAGGGUGAUAGCCCCGUAUGCGAAAGUAAGCAAUCUCCCGUGCAGGAUCCUGAGUACGGCCGGACACGUGAAAUCCGGUCGGAAUCCGCGAGGACCAUCUCGCAAGGCUAAAUACUCCCUAGUGACCGAUAGUGAACCAGUACCGUGAGGGAAAGGUGAAAAGCACCCCGGAAGGGGAGUGAAAAAGUUCCUGAAACCAUGUGCCUACAAGAAGUUAGAGCCCGUUAAUGGGUGAUAGCGUGCCUUUUGUAGAAUGAACCGGCGAGUUACGAUAACGUGCAAGGUUAAGGUGGAAAGACCGGAGCCGUAGCGAAAGCGAGUCUGAAAUGGGCGAAUUAGUACGUUGUUGUAGACCCGAAACCAGGUGACCUACCCAUGUCC
rnacentral:rRNA from 1 species